UACGGAGGGUGCGAGCGUUGUUCGGAAUCACUGGGCGUAAAGGGCGUGUAGGCGGUCCGCUAAGUCUGAUGUGAAAGCCCGGGGCUCACCCCCGGAAGGGCAUUGGAAACUACGGACGUCGAGUCCCGAAGAGGAGGGUGGAAUUCCCUGGUGUGAGCGGUGAAAUGCGUAGAUAUCAGGAGGAACACCGGUGGCGAAGGCGGGUCUCUGGGCAGUAACUGACGCUGGAGGAGCGAAAGCGUGGGGAGCGAACAGG
rnacentral:rRNA from 1 species